GCAAGGCUUGUUUUUCUUAGAUUGUAUGAUACUAGUCAGAAAAAUAACGUGGUCUAAAGAUGCCGAAUUUUUAAAUUUAUUUUUACUGCUUAUGGGGGGGGGGUGUUGUAGCUGAUGGAAAGCUUAAGCCCCUAAGCCCCCACCCCCCAUUAUUAAUAAUCAGAAUCCUUGGAAGUCUCCCGCCGCCUCCCCCUUCUGACCGCCCAGAUUUCAUCAAGCCCCAGGAAGGCUCCACAAGGUCCAGGGGAACUGAGCCAUUUUCUGGC
rnacentral:lncRNA from 1 species